UCAAGAAACUUCCACAAUGGGCGAAAGCCUGAUGGAGCGACGUCGCGUGAUGGACGAAGUGCUUCGGCACGUAAACAUCUUUUAUGUGGGAUGAAAUUAUUGACAGUACCACAUGAAUAAGGGGCUCCUAACUCUGUGCCAGCAGGAGCGGUAAUACAGAGGCCCCAAGCGUUAUCCGGAAUCACUGGGCGUAAAGGGUGUCGAGGCGGUUGUAUUAGUCGUUCGUAAAAUCUACGAGCUUAACUUGUAGGCGGCGAACGAAACGGUACGACUUGAGGUUUGGAGAGGUGCGUGGAACUCACGGUGUAGGGGUGAAAUCCGUUGAUAUCGUGGGGAACACCAAAGGCGAAGGCAGCGCACUGGCCAAAAUCUGACGCUCACACACGAAAGCUAGGGUAGCGAAGAGGAUUAGAUACCCUAGUAGUCCCUG
rnacentral:rRNA from 1 species